rnacentral:rRNA from 1 species
UACGUAGGAUCCAAGCGUUAUCCGGAAUUACUGGGCGUAAAGAGUUGCGUAGGUGGCAUAGUAAGCGGACAGUGAAAGCGUGUGGCUCAACCACAUACACAUUGUCUGAACUACUAAGCUUGAGGACGAGAGAGGUACCUGGAAUUCCUAGUGUAGGAGUGAAAUCCGUAGAUAUUAGGAGGAACACCGAUGGCGUAAGCAGGGUACUGGCUUGUUCCUGACACUAAGGCACGAAAGCGCGGGGAGUGAAUGGG